AGAGUUUGAUCCUGGCUCAGGAUGAACGCUGGCGGCGUGCCUAAUACAUGCAAGUCGAACGAAGCGAUUUGGGAAAUUUAUUUUUCAGAUUGACUGAGUGGCGAACGGGUGAGUAAGACAUAAGUAAUCUGCCGUAAAGACUGGGAUAACUUUGAGAAAUUAAAGCUAAGACCGGAUAGGAAUUAUUGAGGCAUCUUAAUAAUUUUAAAGGGGCUUAUGGCCUUGUUAUACGAUGAGCUUAUGGCGCAUUAGCUAGUUGGUAAGGUAAUGGCUUACCAAGGCGAUGAUGCGUAGCCGGCCUGAGAGGGUGACCGGCCACACUGGGACUGAGACACGGCCCAGACUCCUACGGGAGGCAGCAGUAGGGAAUUUUCGGCAAUGGGGGCAACCCUGACCGAGCGACGCCGCGUGAGUGAAGACGGUCUUCGGAUUGUAAAGCUCUGUUAUCAGGGAAGAAUAAGGUUAUCAGGAAAUGGAUAAUCGAUGACGGUACCUGAUCAGAAAGCCACGGCUAACUACGUGCCAGCAGCCGCGGUAAUACGUAGGUGGCGAGCGUUAUCCGGAAUUAUUGGGCGUAAAGGGUGCGUAGGCGGUUAUUUAAGUUUAAGGUUAAAGUUCAGGGCUCAACCCUGUGAUGCCUUAGAAACUGGAUAGCUAGAGUACAGGAGAGGUUAGUGGAAUUCCAUGUGUAGCGGUAAAAUGCGUAGAUAUAUGGAGGAACACCAGUGGCGAAGGCGGCUAACUGGCCUGUAACUGACGCUCAGGCACGAAAGCGUGGGGAGCAAAUAGGAUUAGAUACCCUAGUAGUCCACGCCGUAAACGAUGAAUACUAAGUGUUGGGGUAAAACUCAGUGCUGCAGUUAACGCAAUAAGUAUUCCGCCUGGGGAGUAUGCGCGCAAGCGUAAAACUCAAAGGAAUUGACGGGGGCCCGCACAAGCGGUGGAGUAUGUGGUUUAAUUCGAGGCAACGCGAAGAACCUUACCAGGGCUUGACAUGCCACUGACCGCGCUAGAGAUAGCGUUUUACCUUCGGGUACAGUGGACACAGGUGGUGCAUGGUUGUCGUCAGCUCGUGUCGUGAGAUGUUGGGUUAAGUCCCGCAACGAGCGCAACCCCUAUUUUUAGUUGCCAUCAUUAAGUUGGGCACUCUAGAGAGACUGCCGAUGAUAAAUCGGAGGAAGGUGGGGAUGACGUCAAAUCAUCAUGCCCUUUAUGCCCUGGGCUACACACGUGCUACAAUGGUCGGUACAACGAGGAGCAAGCUAGCGAUAGCAAGCAAAUCUCUUAAAGCCGAUCCCAGUUCGGAUUGCAGGCUGCAACUCGCCUGCAUGAAGUCGGAGUUGCUAGUAAUCGCGGAUCAGAAUGUCGCGGUGAAUGCGAUCCCGGGUCUUGCACACACCGCCC
rnacentral:rRNA from 1 species